AUGCUUUCCUGUUACUGCUAUCUCCCCCACCAGCACUGGACUAGCUCCUGGGGAACAAAACCAAUUAGAUUCCCGCUUCGGAGCAGCAGGGGUUUGCACCAAGGGCAGUGCAUCCUACGGGACCCCCAAGAGCCGAAUCUGAACCUUGCCAAGGAGGAAACGAAUUCCUUUUCCCUGGAAUUCUAUUUAUAAGUAAUCUCUACACCCAACGUGGGGCUGGAACUCAGAACCCCGAGAUCAAGAGUCACAGGCUUCACCAACUGAGCCAGCCAGACGCUCCUGUGUUGCCAAUCUGAUGGGUAAAUAAUAUUAAUCUCAUUUUAAUGUGCUUUUCCUGGCAGGCUGGGCAGGGCACUUACUCUUUUGUUUUUUGUCAUCAGCAUUUCUUCUUCUGUGAAUAGUGUGCUGAAGACCUUGAGUUGUUUUUCUUAUUGCAUUAUCUUUUUCUGUUGGUAGGCAUUCUUUGGGAUUUUAACCUUUUGUGAUAAGGGCUGCAGAUACCUUCUCCUAGCUGAUUGUCUUUUGACUUUGUUUAUGGUGCCUUCCGGUACACGCAAAUUUUUAAUUUUUAUGUGGCUUUAUCUGGCAAGCUUUUCCUUCAUGGUUUCUGAAUCUCUAGUCUUUCUUAAAAAGUGUUCUCUGCCUUGAGGUUAUACAAAUUCUCCCUUUGGAUCUUUGCCAGGAAUUUAUUGCUCUGUCUGCAGUGUUUGUGGGAUAGCGAAAAAAAAAAAAAAACACAAACCACUCAAAAUACAUAUUGAAAUACAACAGACACACUGGGAAGUGCACAAAUUUGAAGGGACUUGUCACAGACUUGUCUGAUCAGCAUGCAGAUCAAGAAAGAGAACAUUACCAGCACCCCAAAGCCCCUUCUCUGUUCUUCCAGUUAUUACUCCUUGACAAGGCGAACCACUAUCCUGACUCCUAACACCUUAUAUUAGUUUUCUAAGGGGAUAAUUCCAUUUUCAUGCAGAUGGCCAAUUAAGUAUGCCAACAAAAUUAGCUACUGAGUUAAGAUGCCUCCUUUUAUCGUUGGUACUUUUAAGGAGAAAAUAUGUUUCUGGCUGCAGUGAGGGUGGGGGGCUGCAUGACCCAAUGCCUAACAAAGUCGACUUUCCCUUUUUUAAAAAAGUUUAUUUAUUUAGUAAUCUCUCUGCCCAACGUGGGGCUUGAGCUCACAACCCCAAGAUCA
rnacentral:lncRNA from 1 species